rnacentral:rRNA from 1 species
CGUAGGGUGCGAGCGUUAAUCGGAAUUACUGGGCGUAAAGCGUGCGCAGGCGGUAAUGUAAGACAGAUGUGAAAUCCCCGGGCUCAACCUGGGACCUGCAUUUGUGACUGCAUUGCUGGAGUGCGGCAGAGGGGGAUGGAAUUCCGCGUGUAGCAGUGAAAUGCGUAGAUAUGCGGAGGAACACCGAUGGCGAAGGCAAUCCCCUGGGCCUGCACUGACGCUCAUGCACGAAAGCGUGGGGAGCAAACAGGAUUAGAUACCCUGGUAGUCCACGCCCUAAACGAUGUCAACUGGUUGUUGGGAAUUCACUUUCUCAGUAACGAAGCUAACGCGUGAAGUUGACCGCCUGGGGAGUACGGCCGCAAGGUUG